UUCUUUCCCGCUCGAGUCUUAAGAGUUUUCUGCUUUCACUAUUGCUGGAUCCUCUUUCCCCUCUAGUUGUUACUUUUUAGGCCUUACUGGGCUUUGAUAUGGUUCAUGCCUCGUGGUAUUCUGUGAACAGUGUGAUCUCAUCAUGUUGCGCAGGAGAUGGUGCUUGGCAGCAACAUUUUUUGCAGUGGUUCUAGCCAUUGUUGUUGCUUGUAGUUUCGGAUUAUCAGCUCUUGGAAUAUGGUUUAUUUGGAGACACUGACAACAUACAUUAAACGCAUACAAACAAGCUGAUGCAGUGGUUUCGGAGCAAAGAACUAUAGUCAUUGUAGGCUUCUCGAUGGUCAAUGCAUUGUUUUUUUUAAUGCUGG
rnacentral:lncRNA from 1 species